rnacentral:rRNA from 1 species
GGUGCUAAGUUUUGUGAAUUUUGUGACUGUGAAGAGAGUGUGAAUCAUUUAUUUUUCUCUUGCUCCUUAGCUAAGUUCCCGUGGAAUAUUGUGGGAUGUGCUCUAGGGAGCCAGAGAGCUCCAAUGUCUUUUUUCGACUUAUGCCAAAACUGGUUGUCUAGCUAUACUGGCAAAGAUAGAGUAGUUGUUUUAUUGGGUAUUGCUGCUCUCUUGUGGUCUAUAUGGAAAACAAGGAACAAAUCCUGUUUUCAAAGUGUUAUGCCUAGAGAUCCUACGGACAUUAUCUUUCUUGUUUGUUCCCUACUUGACUCAUGGAAAAAUCUGCAGAAAAGAGGGGUGCAAAGCAUGCUUCAUCAGGUGUCUAGGCGUAUCAUGAGGGUGACUCGUGAUAUAUUCAGAGGAGGGCAUGGUUUGGCGCCGCGUGUGAGAAGGAUUCUGUGA